CGAACGGUAACAGGGAUUAGCUUGCUAAUCUGCUGACGAGUGGCGGACGGGUGAGUAAUGCUUGGGAAUCUGGCUUAUGGAGGGGGAUAACUACGGGAAACUGUAGCUAAUACCGCGUAAAAUCUUCGGAUUAAAGGGUGGGACUUUCGGGCCACCUGCCAUAAGAUGAGCCCAAGUGGGAUUAGGUAGUUGGUUAGGUAAAGGCUGACCAAGCCGACGAUCUCUAGCUGGUCUGAGAGGAUGACCAGCCACACUGGAACUGAGACACGGUCCAGACUCCUACGGGAGGCAGCAGUGGGGAAUAUUGCACAAUGGGGGGAACCCUGAUGCAGCCAUGCCGCGUGAAUGAAGAAGGCCUUCGGGUUGUAAAGUUCUUUCGGUGACGAGGAAGGUUGAUAGGUUAAUAGCCUAUCAAAUUGACGUUAAUCACAGAAGAAGCACCGGCUAACUCCGUGCCAGCAGCCGCGGUAAUACGGGGGGUGCGAGCGUUAAUCGGAAUAACUGGGCGUAAAGGGCACGCAGGCGGUGACUUAAGUGAGAUGUGAAAGCCCCGAGCUUAACUUGGGAAUUGCAUUUCAUACUGGGUCGCUAGAGUACUUUAGGGAGGGGUAGAAUUCCACGUGUAGCGGUGAAAUGCGUAGAGAUGUGGAGGAAUACCGAAGGCGAAGGCAGCCCCUUGGGAAUGUACUGACGCUCAUGUGCGAAAGCGUG
rnacentral:rRNA from 1 species